rnacentral:rRNA from 1 species
GUAUAAGAGACAGCAGUCGCCGCGGUAAUACGGAGGGUGCAAGCGUUAAUCGGAAUUACUGGGCGUAAAGCGCACGCAGGCGGUCUGACAAGUCAGAUGUGAAAUCCCCGGGCUUAACCUGGGAACUGCAUUUGAAACUGUCAGGCUGGAGUCUUGUAGAGGGGGGUGGAAUUCCAGGUGUAGCGGUGAAAUGCGUAGAGAUCUGGAGGAAUACCGGUGGCGAAGGCGGCCCCCUGGACAAAGACUGACGCUCAGGUGCGAAAGCGUGGGGAGCAAACAGGAUUAGAUACCCGCGUAGUCCCUGUCUCUUAUAC